UGUAGGACGUCCGUGUGAGUACGGUGGUGUCACUUAUGCUGACGGGGAGAAAACUAGCGACCCUCUGUGUAUUUGUCUUAAUGGUAACAUAGCCUGCGCUUAACCAACACAGGAUGUCAUGUGACCAGCACAGAACUCUCUCACCGGUUACAGACGUCAUUACAGGAAGUCAAAAGUUCAGUCAAAAGUUCACAGUAUUUAAACAUUGAAACAAAUGACAAGAUUUUGGCUCCAACUAUUUAUUGUUUUUAGGGAAAAGAUUUUUGUGUUUAAGUAACUCUGAUUCUUAUUUCGUUUUUUUUUCGUCCAUAUUUUUGAUUUCCUUGAAUAAAUUUCUUACCAUCGAAGA
rnacentral:sRNA from 1 species